UACAUAGGUGGCAAACGUUAUCCGGAAUUAUUGGGCGUAAAGGAUGCGUAGAUUGUUUGAUAAGUUACUAGUGGCAAAUUAGAGCUCAACUCUAUGGAAGUUAGUAAUACUGUCUUACUAGAGUAUAGAAGAGGUUAAUGUAACUCUAUGUGGAGCAGUGAAAUGCAUAGAUAUAUAGAUGAGCACCAAAGGCGAAGGCAAUUAACUAUUCUAUUACUGACGUUUGAGAGCAUGAAAGCGUGGGGAUCAAAACGG
rnacentral:rRNA from 1 species